GGAUGGAGGAUCCAGUGUUUUCACGGACGAUUCAUGUGAUUUCUUGGCAACAGGGUGAACCAGGAGCCCCAGGGCCUCCAGGAGCACAGGGCAUCCAGGGCAUUCGUGGCAACACCGGCAUUCCCGGAUCACGGGGAGAGAGAGGAACUCCCGGUCUGCCUGGGGUGCCAGGACAGAAGGGAGAAAUCGGCUUUGGAGUAGCUGGCCCAAGAGGUCCCCGUGGACUCCCUGGCCCUCAGGGUGAUGAGGGCGUCGUGGGAGUCCGAGGCCCCCUUGGCAUGAGGGUGAGUGUUAACACAGGAUGGAGGGCUAGUUUAAUGUCAUAGACGACAGUGGCCCCAGGGCUGGCAAAAUCCCUGCGUGCAAUGGAAAGAUUAAAGUGGUUUAAUGCUUUCAGUGGAAAAUAGAGAUUCUGGGAGCCUGAAUUCCAAUGGUUUGCUGGGAUUGUGAGCAUAAAUCCUGUAGGUAGAUAUAAAACAUAAGCUGUCAUGCUGAGCGUAAUUACUUUAGGCUCUUGGCCAUUUGGCUGACUCAUCUACAAGAUGCGUUUGAAGUCGUUCAAAA
rnacentral:lncRNA from 1 species